UACGUAGGGGGCUAGCGUUGUCCGGAUUUAUUGGGCGUAAAGCGCACGUAGGCGGAUUGUUAAGUCAGGGGUGAAAUCCUGGAGCUCAACUCCAGAACUGCCUUUGAUACUGGCGAUCUCGAGUCCGGGAGAGGUGAGUGGAACUGCGAGUGUAGAGGUGAAAUUCGUAGAUAUUCGCAAGAACACCAGUGGCGAAGGCGGCUCACUGGCCCGGUACUGACGCUGAGGUGCGAAAGCGUGGGGAGCAAACAGG
rnacentral:rRNA from 1 species